AAAGGAUCUGUCUCUCAGAUUUUUCAGAAUCCCCGAAGAUUCCGCUCUUCUUCAUCUUUCCUUCGAGGAUGAGAUUAUCGCAGAGGGCAAUCACUGAAGGUUCCACAUUUCGACCUUUGGUGACGUAAAAACAUCUGCGCAGACGCCGAAUGUCAGGAGCUUCGUAAGCGCUGCCUAUGCUUCUGUCGUUUUUAUUCCUUCGUGGCUAUCUUCACUGCUUUGAGCUGCUGGUGUACUCUACACACAGUGUCAGAUUGUGGCAGCUCUUUAGAGAAAGAAGCCGACCCUAGUAAAAGUCCUGACCUUUAUAGGGAUAUGUACAUAUCUGCUAGCUACUCUUUGUGUGCUUCAUUUCGUCGUCAUCGCUUAAAGAGGAGGCUCUUCAAUUAGAUUAUUUAUUUGUUGACUUGUUGAUGUGAAGUGUAAAUUACAAAACAGUGGUCAUGCUUCUGAUGGGUAGGUGCUUGGUUUGCAUUUCCUUUUUGCUACUCAAGAAUGAAUGAGUAUAAUUUUAAUCUACUGGAAUGUGUUCUCUAUACCAUUGUAAGAAGGUGGGAUAUAUUUACCCUUUGGUUGUUGAUGAGUUUAGUUGGAAGCAUCAUGAAAUUCUCCGAAAAGAAAAUUUCUAUUUUGUAGGAUGAUGCCCUUAAUCUCUAUCCAUUAGGUUCGCCAAUUUUGUCUCUGCAUUUAAUAUCUUUCACAGAGUGGUCAUUGCUCAAUUUUCUGGAAUAUUAGAUUGUCAUAUGCCUUUGCGCUGUCAAAGAGGCCUCUACAAUUUUUCUUGUCAUUUUUCUAUCGUCUUUCAUGAUGUAUCCCGCCUUUGUGUAUUUACUGCCCCAAUCGUUAUAUUUAUGUAGAUAGUUUAUUAAUUUACAUGAUAAUUACUGCUGUAUGUUUUACUUGUGCUGAUGGCACACUCGAAUGCAAUAUCCGUGGUGGUGGAAGUCCAACCCUCUCAGGUGAAAAAGAAUUGUUGGUGAACUCAGUCACAACUCAAUAAUAAUAGGUGCUUCGACUCUCUGUUGGGAGUUUAAUUUUCUGUGAUAGUGGAGGUUUAAUAAUUAUUCCUGCAUGGUAUUUUGCAAUAAAUUCAGAGUAUAAAUAGUAGUAUUGCCUAAUUUCUUCCUCAAAAUGGCAAUGGGCAAAAUUUGCAAUAGAACACCUGUAUUAGAAUAUUUGAUGAUAGAAGUGCAUAUAUAUCUCAUAACAAUGGUAUGGUAGCUGCAUUAUAGAGCUUAAAACAUAUUUUGACACUCUAGAUAUGCACAUGACAGUUUUUGUAAUAUGCAUUGUUGAAAUUCAAAUAUAUUGUGCGAAAGAUAAUGACAUGUUUCAUAGCAGAUAAACAAAUUAACAUUAAGGUUUAAUUAUAUAUAGGAUAGGGGGAAAAGAAUUUCACAUCUAGCAGUUUAAAAAACUUGUUACAUAGGCUUUAUAGGUUGACCUCCUGGUUCAGAAAACCUCUUCUCAAGGUCUCUAUGCUACUGUUGAGAGAACAUAAUAGUCAGAAGAACUGGAAGAAGAACACUGUGCUUAUUAUACAAAAGAAAAUUUGUCAAUUCCUUUUGCAGUGAGGGGUGGAAAGGACAAAGAGUUAUUUGCAUCUAGUAAUAUGACCAAUUUGGAGAUGUUUGAAUCCAUUAGAAGAGCUGGGAAAAAGAAACUGUAAAUUAAUACGCACACAUGUUAAAGGUUGGAGUUUCAUUUCUCUGCAACGGUCGAAACUCCUUAACUAUAUCAAUAAAUAUUUUCUAUAUUACUUACAUAUCUCUGUUAGUACAGAAAAUGUUAAAGAUGGAGCCGGUGCUGCCUUUGGACUCUAUGGGAGCAACAAACCAACAUGCAAGUUCAGUGAUGACUAAAGAUUCUGCGGAGAAGUAAACAAUAGUAUGUGAAGUCUGUAUUCAUUUAGUUUUAGUGUAUAUAUAUAUAUAGAAGGGGACGAGAUUCUUAUCGAAGUGAAGAACUUAUUGGUAAGUCUCUCUCAGCCUUUAUCUCUGCUCUGUUCCGAUUCCGAUAGAGCUCCAAAUGUGUAAAUAUUCUGCAGAUAAAAACAACAUUGUACAGUUAUAUAGAGAUAUAGCGAGAGAGCUUCUAUCAAAAGAAAA